rnacentral:rRNA from 1 species
UUCCAGACUCCUACGGGAGGCAGCAGUGGGGAAUAUUGCACAAUGGGGGAAACCCUGAUGCAGCGACGCCGCGUGAGUGAAGAAGUAUUUCGGUAUGUAAAGCUCUAUCAGCAGGGAAGAAAAUGACGGUACCUGACUAAGAAGCCCCGGCUAACUACGUGCCAGCAGCCGCGGUAAUACGUAGGGGGCAAGCGUUAUCCGGAUUUACUGGGUGUAAAGGGAGCGUAGACGGCGAUGCAAGCCAGAUGUGAAAGCCCGGGGCUCAACCCCGGGACUGCAUUUGGAACUGUGUGGCUGGAGUGUCGGAGAGGCAGGCGGAAUUCCUAGUGUAGCGGUGAAAUGCGUAGAUAUUAGGAGGAAUACCAGUGGCGAAGGCGGCUUACUGGACUGUAACUGACGUUGAGGCUCGAAAGCGUGGGGAGCAAACAGGAUUAGAUACCCCAGUAC